ACAAAAUAAGAGGGUGGAACAAUGAAUCCGCUCUCAUUACGCGGUCAAAAGUCUUGGGAGGAUACGGUCCUGGCGCGGUUACUCGCCGCCGCCGUUUAAAAAAAACGGAAGCGGAUCGGACGCGUUCUAGUUGCAAGGCUUCUGCCUUGCUUUUUUUU
rnacentral:sRNA from 18 species